UACGGGGGGGCAAGCGUUGUUCGGAAUUACUGGGCGUAAAGGGCGCGUAGGCGGUUGGAUAAGUCAGCUGUGAAAACCACGAGCUUAACUCGUGGCCUGCAGUUGAGACUGUCUGGCUUGAGUGUGGGAGAGGAGAGUGGAAUUCCUGGUGUAGCGGUGAAAUGCGCAGAUAUCAGGAAGAACACCCGUGGCGAAGGCGGUUCUCUGGGACGGUACUGACGCUGAGACGCGAAAGCGUGGGGAGCGAACAGG
rnacentral:rRNA from 1 species